UACGUAGGGUGCAAGCGUUGUCCGGAAUUAUUGGGCGUAAAGAGCUUGUAGGCGGUUUGUCGCGUCUGCUGUGAAAUUUCGGGGCUCAACCCCGAACUUGCAGUGGGUACGGGCAGACUAGAGUGUGGUAGGGGAGACUGGAAUUCCUGGUGUAGCGGUGAAAUGCGCAGAUAUCAGGAGGAACACCGGUGGCGAAGGCGGGUCUCUGGGCAGUAACUGACGCUGAGGAACGAAAGCGUGGGGUAGCAAACAGG
rnacentral:rRNA from 1 species